rnacentral:tRNA from 1 species
GGCUUUAUAGCUUAAAUUAGAGCGGCGGUUUUGCAACCCGCAGGUGUGUGUAAGUGUAUGCUCUUUAGCCA